GACGAACGCUGGCGGCGUGCCUAACACAUGCAAGUCGAACGAAGAGCGAUGGAAGCUUGCUUCUAUCAAUCUUAGUGGCGAACGGGUGAGUAACGCGUAAUCAACCUGCCCUUCAGAGGGGGACAACAGUUGGAAACGACUGCUAAUACCGCAUACGAUCUAAUCUCGGCAUCGAGGAAAGAUGAAAGGUGGCCUCUACAUGUAAGCUAUCACUGAAGGAGGGGAUUGCGUCUGAUUAGCUAGUUGGAGGGGUAACGGCCCACCAAGGCGAUGAUCAGUAGCCGGUCUGAGAGGAUGAACGGCCACAUUGGGACUGAGACACGGCCCAGACUCCUACGGGAGGCAGCAGUGGGGAAUCUUCCGUAAUGGACGAAAGUCUGACGGAGCAACGCCGCGUGAGUGAUGACGGCCUUCGGGUUGUAAAGCUCUGUUAAUCGGGACGAAAGGCCUUCUUGCAA
rnacentral:rRNA from 1 species